GGAGGAACAAGAGGUUGUGAGGCAGCAGAAUGUGCUGACAGUGCAGUGUUGAAGCCAGGAGACCCUCUGUUUCCUCUUAGAGUAGAUAGUGAGGUCCCCAGCCUGUUGUUCCCAGGCUGAAACUGUGUAAUGACCCACCAGAGGAAGGGACAGAGGAGCCAGCCAGUUUCCCAACUGGGCCAGAGUAGUCUAGUCCUGGUGUAGCCCCUGCCAGACAUGAUGGGGUCUGCUCUGAGAAACGACACAGCUCCUAAGGGCUUGGGCCCAGGUAUCGACCACCUCAGCCUCGUGUCCGGCACAGAGUGAUGACCUUGGGAGACCCUGAUGGGACUAGCCACCUGGGGAGCUCUCGGCUGUGCGAGCUCCCUUCCCAGCACUUCACUCAUGGUAACUUCUCGAAGCUCUGAGUAUAGGACAGCUGGGUACCCAGUCUGAGGCCCAGAGAGGCAGUGAUUUUCCGAAAGGCAAGCCCGGAUCUCAUCUCAUCUCUGUAGGAACUCAGGGACACCUUGAGUUCCACCCCCAGCCCCCAUUCCAGGGGGGUCCGAACCACAGUCAGGGCUUGGCUGGUGGUGGGGGACACUUCCUGGAGCCCCCCUCCACCGCAACCUGCGCCCGCCCAGGCUUCGGAUUUCAGCCAGCCUUGGGGUGAGCGGCCUGUUCUGCCCUGUGCCCGAGAGGAAUGUUCGCGGUGGCAUGGGCCCGGGUCCGAGAAGAAAGGCAGCCUUGUGGGCGAAAGGGUACUCGCUGGACACCUCUGAAGCCACACUGUGCACCUGCUUCCUUGUCCCUAGCCCACCCCGUUCCAGCUCACAGCUCACAGCUCCUGCUUGAUGCACAGGCUCUGACAGACCUUGCAGUGACCUGAGAAGCCACCAGCAUCAAGUGAGUGAAGCAGGAGGCCAUGCAGCUGAGGUACCAGACCACCAGGGCCAGCAUCAACUGUGAAAUGCCAACUGUGUCUGUGUGUGGUGGCACACACUUGUAACCCCAAGAGUUCAAGAUCAUCCACAGGGGGGUUGGGGAUUUAGCUCAGUGGAAGAGCGCUUGCCUAGCGAGCGCAAGGCCCUGGGUUCGGUCCCCAGCUCCGAAAAAAAGAAAAAAAAAAGAAAAAAAAAAAAAAAAAAAAAAAAAAAAAAAAAAAAAAAGAUCAUCCACAGGAACACAGUGACCUUGAGCCUUACGAGUCUGGCUUAUGUCUAUUUCUAUCUCAAAUAACCGGGAAUGCCAAGGGUUGAGGGCUGUGGAGACGGCCUAGGGGGUAGAGGGGCUUGUCAAGGCAGGAGGGAAAGACUACAAAAUGUGUCUACUGACUGCUGUGCAGAGUUAAAAGCCAACCGUCCAUUUCUUCAUUGAGAAACAUGGGAAAGCCCAUGGCCCACACCAGCACCACUGCCUGCAAUGUCCAACCGGAGCCACCACGCCGCCCUGAAGGCCUGGCUCAAACAGUCAGGUGUCUAAAGACAGCUCUAGGAGCCCUCCCACCUGGGAGCCGUGCCCUGGACAGGGGCCACCCUUUGUCAGGCAGGAGGCAGCACACCUCCCUCCCUCCUCAGGAGUCCUGCACACAAAGCAGUUGCUCCUGUGCAGACAGCGACACCUGCUGGUCUGCGGUCCACCAGUCUAAGUGUUCAGGUUCAGGUCAUCCAGAACACACCUAUGCAGACCAUUCUUAGGCCAAGAUAAGCAGAUGCUCAAAAAUGCUCUUCCCACCCUCAAGCUCCCCUCCCCUCGCCUCCCCUCUAGAGCCCUGCUACCGACCAUCUAUCAGCAGGGUCAGCAGAACUCGGCUAUAGGGCCUGGGGGUCUGGGUGGAGGAGUGCUACUCACGGCUUGUGGGUUCAAAUCUGCCCAAGGAAGAUUAGUCCCUCAGCUCCCAGCACAGGGUCCAUACAGACCUACAACCCCAGGAACACCCAGGAGAAAGAAGCCAAGGCAAGACUGCAAAAGUUCAAUGUUCCAGUUAGAGCUCUAAAGUGAGAUCCUAACUCAAAAACAAGCAAGCAAGCAAGGGUCUGGGGAGAAGCUAAGAGCACUGGCUGGGGGUUGGGGAUUUGGCUCAGUGGCAGAGCGCUUGCCUAGGAAGCGCAAGGCCCUGGGUUCGGUCCCCAGCUCUGGGGAAAAAAAAAAAAGAA